rnacentral:sRNA from 1 species
CUUUACUUUUGUAAGGCUGAUAAAGAACAAUGCGGAGUAAU